rnacentral:rRNA from 1 species
UACAGAGGGUGCAAGCGUUAAUCGGAAUUACUGGGCGUAAAGCGUGCGUAGACGGUUAUGUAAGUCAGAUGUGAAAGCCCCGGGCUUAACCUGGGAAUGGCAUUUGAGACUGCAUAGCUAGGGUGCGGAAGAGGGAAGCGGAAUUUCCGGUGUAGCGGUGAAAUGCGUAGAUAUCGGAAGGAACACCGGUGGCGAAAGCGGCUUCCUGGUCCAGCACCGACGUUCAGGCACGAAAGCGUGGGGAGCAAACAGG